CCUACGGGAGGCUGCAGUGGGGAAUAUUGCACAAUGGGGGAAACCCUGAUGCAGCGACGCCGCGUGAGUGAAGAAGGAUCUCGGUAUGUAAAGCUCUAUCAGCAGGGAAGAUAAUGACGGUACCUGACCAAGAAGCCCCGGCUAACUACGUGCCAGCAGCCGCGGUAAUACGCAGGGGGCAAGCGUUAUCCGGAUUGACUGGGUGUAAAGGGAGCGUAGACGGCAGCGCAAGUCUGGAGUGAAAGCCCGGGGCUUAACCCCGGAACUGCUUUGGAAACUGUGCGGCUGGAGUGCAGGAGGGGUAGGCGGAAUUCCUAGUGUAGCGGUGAAAUGCGUAGAUAUUAGGAGGAACACCGGUGGCGAAGGCGGCUUACUGGACUGUAACUGACGUUGAGGCUCGAAAGCGUGGGGAGCAAACAGGAUUAGAUACCCCUGUAGUC
rnacentral:rRNA from 1 species